AAGCUAUUUUUUCAUUGAAUUUAGGCUUCAUCUGGGUUUUUGGGGAGAUUCCGUUACGUGCGGUAAGAAAGUACGUUAGAAAAAUAUCUUGUUUGUUUCCGUACGUAAUAUUGCGUUCUGCAUAUCGCGAUGAGUCGAUUACGAUAUAUUUUCUGUGGUCCCACCGGAGAAUGCAGAAACAUAUCCCUAUAUGCUUUUUCCUUAAUUCCAUUUUAUCUAAUAGCGUUAGAUAGACCUCAAUACCAAACU
rnacentral:lncRNA from 1 species